UGGGGAAUAUUGCACAAUGGGCGCAAGCCUGAUGCAGCCAUGCCGCGUGUGUGAAGAAGGCCUUCGGGUUGUAAAGCACUUUCAGCGAGGAGGAAGGUGGUGAGCUUAAUACGCUCAUCAAUUGACGUUACUCGCAGAAGAAGCACCGGCUAACUCCGUGCCAGCAGCCGCGGUAAUACGGAGGGUGCAAGCGUUAAUCGGAAUUACUGGGCGUAAAGCGCACGCAGGCGGUUUGUUAAGUCAGAUGUGAAAUCCCCGGGCUCAACCUGGGAACUGCAUUUGAAACUGGCAAGCUAGAGUCUCGUAGAGGGGGGUAGAAUUCCAGGUGUAGCGGUGAAAUGCGUAGAGAUCUGGAGGAAUACCGGUGGCGAAGGCGGCCCCCCUGGACGAAGACUGACGCUCAGGUGCGAAAAGCGUGGGGCAGCAAACAGAUUANGAUACCCUGGUAGUCCACGCUGUAAAACGA
rnacentral:rRNA from 1 species